GACGAACGCUGGCGGCGUGCUUAACACAUGCAAGUCGAGCGGAAAGGCUCCUUCGGGGGUACUCGAGCGGCGAACGGGUGAGUAACACGUGAGUAAUCUGCCCUGCGCUCUGGGAUAGCCACCGGAAACGGUGAUUAAUACUGGAUAUGACCGCUACACGCAUGUGUUGGCGGGGGAAAGUUUUUCGGCGCAGGAUGUGCUCGCCGCCUAUCAGCUUGUUGGUGAGGUAAUGGCUCACCAAGGCUUUGACGGGUAGCCGGCCUGAGAGGGUGACCGGUCACACUGGGACUGAGACACGGCCCAGACUCCUACGGGAGGCAGCAGUGGGGAAUAUUGGACAAUGGGCGGAAGCCUGAUCCAGCAUCGCCGCGUGAGGGAUGACGGCCUUCGGGUUGUAAACCUCUUUCAGUACCGACGAAGCGAAAGUGACGGUAGGUACAGAAGAAGGACCGGCCAACUACGUGCCAGCCGCCGCGGUAACAC
rnacentral:rRNA from 1 species